CUUUCCUGCGGGCAGCGCCCGGGCUCCGGUCGCGUGCUUCCCGGCCUCGGAGACCUGUCCACCUGGCGCUGUAGCAAGCUCCAGCUCAGAUCAUCAGAUAUUUGAUCCCAGAGGUUGGGGACCCCUGCUGGACACCACUGGCCCACGGAAAACCAGAAGCUAUACUUUGGGCUCCCUGGUUCCCCCAUUUCUCCUCGUAAGGAGGCCCCCACUGUGCUGACUUAUCAUUACAGCGCAUACGUUCAUCCCAUCAUUGCUCCAUGUAAAUGCAUGGGUAAGCACCCUUACCGGCGAUGCCUAGAGGCACAGUCUUAUACAUGUGUCUUUGUGUGCAAGGGCGGGAGUGUCUCUAGGAUGCUGCUGGGGCAUCAGGAGUCUGCAGUGACAUGGCCACACUUCUCUCCAGGAUGGCUGUGCCAGUGGAUGGUGUAUAUGACAGUUUCUGCUUCUCCGCGACCUCAGUCACGCUUACUGCUGAUUUUUAAAAUGCACUGCCGGUCUGAUGCAUGUGAUGUGGUGUCUCACAGUCGUAUUUGUGUUUUUAUUAUUAAUGAGAUUGCGCAUCUUUUCCUGUGAUUAUUGGCCACUUGUGUCUCCUCUUGGUUGCAUUGUCUGUUCACAUUCUUUGCGUUUGCAUCUAUUAUGUUGUCAUUUUUCUUAUUGGUUGUAGUAGUUCAUUGUGUAUGCUGGUUACUAAUCCUUCACCAGUCACUGUGCAGAGAUCGUCUCCAGGUCCCUUGCUUGUCUUUUACUUUGUUUAUGGUAUAUGUUGAUGCACAGACAAGUUUAAUUUUGAUGUAGACAACUGUUUUUGCAAUCUUUUCUUAUCCGUGCUUUGAGUCUUUUUAAAAAUACUUAUUUAUGUUGGGCUGUGCUGGGUCUUCGUUGCUUCCUGCUGGCGUUCUGUAGCCAUGGAGUGCAGUGGCUGCUCUCUCGCAGGCUGCUUCUCAUUGCAGUCGCUUCUCUUGUUGCGGAGCACAGGCUCUAGGGCCACAGGCUUCAGCGAUUGUGGCGCACGGGCUUAGUUGCCCCGCAGCAUGUGGGAUCUUCCUGGACCAAGGAUCAAACUCAUGUCCCCUGCAUUGCAAGGUGGAUUCUUAACCACUGGACCACCAGGGAAGCCCCUGAGUCUUGCUUAAAAGAAUUUUCCACCCAAUCUAAAAUCACGUGUUUAUUUUCCUCUAUUUUCUUUCUAAGCUUUUCAAAAAAUUUGAUUUUUGCAUUAAGCAUGGGAUCAUCUAGAAUUUAUUCUGUGAUUGCUUUAAGGUAGGGAUCUAUUUUUCUUUUUCUGCCAUACGGAUAAUCAGCUGGCCCAGCCCCUUUAUCACAUAGCCUCUUCUUUCUCUGCUGAUUGGUUAUGUCUGUCUGGUACCAGGUUUCCAUACUUCCAGAGAUGUGCUUGGGGCUUCUUUGCUCCACUGAUCUUUCACCUGUUCCUGGGCUGGUAUCAUACUGUCUAAAUGGUAUAGCUUUUCAUCUAUCUCUUGAUGUCUCACAGGGAGAGGUGGCCUGUCUUGUUUUUCUUUUUUCAAAAAUUAUUUUUUGUUAUUCUUAGUUCUCCCAUAUGGAUUUUAGAGUCAGCUUAUCUAGUACCUUAAAAACACUCAUCAGUACUUGAUCUUGAACUAUCCUGGGCUUCAUCUAGACCAUCGUGCUUUAAACUCUGUCUGCAGCAGUAUCCUUCCUGGUAAACUUUCACCACAGCUGCAAAUUCCUAUGUUCACAGAUUAGUUAGCACAGAUUACUUUUUUCUUUUUAAAUGUAAUUGUAAAAAAAAAAAAAUGUAUGACAAAAUUUGCCAUCUUAACCAUUUGAAGUGUGACUCAGCAUUAAAUAUAUUCAUUGUUUUAUGUAGGAAUCACCGUUAAUGGCAAAACUCCGUAAUCAUUAGGCAGUAAUUUCUUAUUCUCCCCGCUGUAAUCCAUAGGCAAUAAUUCUCUAUUCCUACCAGCCUCUGGCAAUUACCAUUCUACUUUCUGUCCCUAUGAAUUUGCCUUGUUAAACAUCUCAUAUACGUAUAAUCUUAGAAAAUCGUCCUUUUGUGUCUGGCUUCUUUUACUUAGUAUGAUGUCUUCAAGCUUCAUUCAUGUUGUAGAAUGUUUCAGAACUUCCUUCAUUUUUAAGGAUGAAUAGCAUUCCACUAUAUGGACGUACCACAUUUUGUUUAUCUGUUUAUCCCAUGUUGGACAUUGGGCUAUUUCCUCUUUUUGACUCUUGUGGGUGAUGCUACCAUAAGCAUAGGUGUACAUGUAUUUGUUUCAUUCUUGUUUUCAUUUGUCUUGGAUAUAAUCAGGCGAUGUGAAUCCUCCACUUUGUUCUUCUCUUUCAAGAUUAUUUUGGUUAUUCUAGGUCCAUUGAAAUUCCAUAUGAAUUUCAGUAUGGAUUUUUCAUUUUUGCAAAAAAAAAAACCCAAACACAUCCUUGGGAUUUUGCUAGUGAUUUCAUUGAAUAUGUCGAUUUGGGUUGUAUUGUCAUCUCAAUACCAUUAAAUCUUGCAAUCUGUGAACACAGGAUUCUUUCCAUUUAUUUAGAUGUUCUUUAAUUUCUUUCAGCAAUGUUUUAUAUUUUUCUUAUUUAUCACAUUUUAUGUUGGUUGUUUGCUGAUAGUAGGAAGAUAGUAGCGCAUUUCUAGAAUACAAAUAAGAGGUUUUAGAUGUAGAGUCUUAUAAAUUUUACCUGUAAAUGGAGAAAGCAACAUAGUAUUUAUUUUUAGUACCAGAAUUGGUGUCCCUCGUCAUGAUCUUUUAGGAGCCUUGAAUUAGGAAAAAAAAAAAAAAAAAAGCUUGUCUGGGUUACAGAAUCUCAGAUUUUGUUGACCUCAUGAUGCUCAAUAGGUCACAGUGAGAUUUACCCUAUGUUGAAAUUUGACCUAAAAAAAAAUUCAUGAAGAGUUUAUUGUUGAAUCCAUGUUUAAUAUUGCAGUAACUUUUCUAAUUCCAUCUUCUAUCAGCAUAUUCAUAUUACAAUCUGUGUCAUAAAAUCAUUCAGGGAAAAUAGGUAUUUGACUUUCUGAAUUCCUGUCUUUCCAUACCCUAAUUUAGUCAUAAUCCUUCAAAUAUUCAAAUUUACUGGCACAUGCCACUUACCUCUCCCCUACCAUCAUUAAGUUAAACAAUGCUCUGGGAAGAUGACUUAAAUUACUCAAAUUUUACUAAAAAAUUCAGGGAAUUAACAUUCUCAGAUUUUUCUGUCUCCUUAAAUACAGCAUCUGGCUCUACUCUAUCCCAGGAAAGAAUGACUCCAAACCUUUUUCUUUAGAUGAUGGUUCUGCAUCAAAACAGUCCUUAAUAAAGAAAGCGAAGAACUAUUAUUUAAACUGACUCUUCAAGCUAGGCGGCUGCGAGCCGGCGCAAUAAGCGUGGCCAAGAGGAGGCUACACCACGUCCGAGGUCAGUGGUGGCCUGGAGGAGCUACCCCGCGUCUGAGGCCAGUGGCGGCCGGGAGGAGACACCCCGUGUCUGAGGUCAGGGGCGGCUGGGAGAAACCACCUCGUGCCCGAGGUCAGGGGUGGUGACCCUGAGGAGUCACCCUGAGCCCGAGGCCAGGGGCGGCAGCUGGGAGGAGCCACCCACGCCCGAGGCCAGGGCCAGCGGCCAGGAGGGUUAACCCGAGUAGCGGUGGCUGUGCAGGUACAGGAGGGCCUAGAGGAGCUAUCCCAAGUUGAAGGUCAGGAACGGCAGGGGUAAGGAGAUAUCCCUUGCCCAAAGUAAGGAGCAGCGGCUGUGCUUUGCUGGAGCAGCUGUGAAGAGAUAAUCCACGCCCAAGGUAAGAGAAACCCAAGUAAGAUGGUAGGUGUUGCAAGAGGGCAUCAGAGGGCAGACACACUGAAACCAUACUCACAGAAAACUAGUCAAUCUAGUCACACUAGGACCACAGCCUUGUCAAACUCAAUGAAACCAAGCCACGCCUGCAGGGCAACCCAAGACAGGCGGGUCAUGGUGGAGAGGCCUGACAGAAUAUGGUCCACUGGAGAAGGGAAUGGCAAGCCACUUCAGUAUUCUUGCCUUGAGAACCCCAUGAACAGUAUGAAAAGGCAAAAUGAUAGGAUACCAAAAGAGGAACUCCCCAGAGCAGUAGGUGCCCAAAUGCUCCUGGAGAUCAGUGGAGAAAUAACUCCAGAAAGAAUGACGGGAUGGAGCCAAAGCAAAAACAAUACCCAGCUGUGGAUGUGACUGGUGAUAGAAGCAAGGUCUGAUGCUGUAAAGAGCAAUAUUGCAUAGGAACCUGGACUGUCAGGUCCAUGAAUCAAGGCAAAUUGGAAGUGGUCAAACAAGAGAUGGCAACGGUGAACGUUGACAUUCUAGGAAUCAGCGAACUAAAAUGGACUGGAAUGGGUGAAUUUAACUCAGAUGACCAUUAUAUCUACCACUGCAGGCAGGAAUCCCUCAGAAGAAGUGGAGUAGCCAUCACGGUCAACAAAAGAGUCUGAAAUGCAGUACUUGGAUGCAAUCUCAAAAACAACAGAAUGAUCUCUGUUCAUCUCCAAGGCAAACCAUUCAGUAUCACAGUAAUCCAAGUCUAUGCCCCAACCAGUAACGCUGAAGAAGCUGAAGUUGAACGGUUCUAUGAAGACCUACAAGACCUUUCAAAACUAACAUCCAAAAAAGAUGUCCUUUUCAUGAUAGGGGACUGGAAUGCAAAAGUAGGAAGUCAAGAAACACCUAGAGUAAUAGGCAGAUUUGGCCUUGGAAUGCAGAAUGAAGCAGGGCAAAGACUAAUAGAGUUUUGCCAAGAAAAUGCACUGGUCAUAGGAAACACCCUCUUCCAACAACACAAGAGAAGACUCUACACAUGGACAUCACCAGAUGGUCAACACUGAAAUCAGAUUGAUUAUAUUCUUUGCAGCCAAAGAUGGAGAAGCUCUAUACAGUCAACAAAAACAAGACCAGGAGCUGACUGUGGCUCAGAUCAUGUACUCCUUAUUACCAAAUUCAGACUCAGAUUGAAGAAAGUAGGGAAAACUGCUAGACCAUUCAGGUAUGACCUAAAUCAAAUCCCUUAUGAUUAUACAGUGGAAGUGAGAAAUAGAUUCAAGGGCCUAGAUCUGAUAGAUAGAGUGCCUGAUGAACUAUGGACGGAGGUUCGUGACAUUGUACAGGAGACAGGGAUCAAGACCAUCCCCAUGGAAAAGAAAGGCAAAAAGGCAAAAUGGCUGUCUGGGGAGGCUUUACAAAUAGCUAUGAAAAGAAGAGAGGCGAAAAGCAAAGGAGAUAAGGAAAGAUAUAAGCAUCUGAAUGCAGAGUUCCAAAGAAUAGCAAGAAGAGAUAAGAAAGCCUUCUGCAGUGAUCAGUGCAAAGAAAUAGAGAAAAACAACAGAAUGGAAAAGACUAGAGAUCUCUUCAAGAAAAUUAGAGAUACCAAGGGAACAUUUCAUGCAAAGAUGGGCUCGAUAAAGGACAGAAAUGGUAUGGACCUAACAGAAGCAGAAGAUAUUAAGAAGAGGUAGCAAGAAUACACAGAAGAACUGUACAAAAAAUAUCUUCACGACCCAGAUAAUCAUGAUGAUGUGAUCACUAAUCUAGAGCCAGAAAUCCUGGAAUGUGAAGUCAAGUGGGCCUUAGAAAGCAUCACUAUGAACAAAGCUAGUAGAGGUGAUGGCAUUCCAGUUGAGCUAUUUCAAAUCCUGAAAGAUGAUGCUGUGAAAGUGCUGCACUCAAUAUGCCAGCAAAUUUGGAAAACUCAGCAGUGGCCACAGGACUGGAAAAGGUCAGUUUUCAUUCUAGUUCCAAAGAAAGGCAAUGCCAAAGAAUGCUCAAACGACCGCACAAUUGCACUCAUCUCACAUGCUAUAAAGUGAUGCUCAAAAUUCUCCAAGCCAGGCUUCAGCAAUACAUGAACCAUGAACUUCCUGAUGUUCAAGCUGGUUUUAGAAAAGGCAGAGGAACCAGAGAUCAAAUUGCCAACAUCCGCUGGAUCAUGGAAAAAGCAAGAGAGUUCCAGAAAACAUCUAUUUCUGCUUUAUUGACUAUGCCAAAAAUUUUGACUCUGUGGAUCACAACAAACUCUGGAAAAUUCUGCGAGAGAUGGGAAUACCAGAGCACCUGACCUGCCUCUUGAGAAACCUGUAUGCAGGUCAGGAAGCAACAGUUAGAACUGGACAUGGAACCACAGACUGGUUCCAAAUAGGAAAAGGAGUAUGUCAAGGCUGUAUAUUGUCACCCUGCUUAUUUAACUUCUAUGCAGAGUACAUCAUGAG
ensembl:lncRNA